rnacentral:rRNA from 1 species
UGAAUACGAGAUGCUACGGCAUCGAAGCAGUCUAUGUCAUACUUCCAAGAAAAGCUUGCACUGUCAUAAACAAAUAAUGCCUGUACCAUAACCGACACAGGUGGGUAGGUAGAGUAUACUAAGGGGCGCGAGAUAACUCUCUCUAAGGAACUCGGCAAAAUGACUCCGUAACUUCGGGAGAAGGAGUGCCUUAUUUUAUAAGGUUGCAAUAACAAGAUCCAAGCAACUGUUUACCAAAAACACAGGUCUCCGCUAAGUCGUAAGACGAUGUAUGGGGGCUGACGCCUGCCCAGUGCCAGAAGGUUAAAGAAGUUGGUUAGCAUUAGCGAAGCUGAUAACUGAAGCCCUGGUGAACGGCGGCCGUAACUAUAACGGUCCUAAGGUAGCGAAAUUCCUUGUCGGGUAAGUUCCGACCCGCACGAAAGGCGUAAUGAUUUGGAUACUGUCUCGGAGAGGGGCUCGGUGAAAUAGACUUGUCUGUGAAGAUGCGGACUACCUGCACCAGGACAGAAAGACCCUAUGAAGCUUUACUGUAACUUGAGAUUGAAAUUGGACUUUAUUUGCGCAGUAUAGGUGGGAGACGUUGAAAAUAUUCUUGCGGGAAUAUUGGAGUCAUCAGUGAGAUACCACUCUUAUAAUGUUAGAUUUCUAACUUUGUAUCAUUAUCUGGUCAAAGAACAGUCUCAGGCGGGCAGUUUGACUGGGGCGGUCGCCUCCCAAACGGUAACGGAGGCGCACAAAGGUUUCCUCUGAACGUGUAGAAAUCGUAUCUAGAGUGUAAAGGCAUAAGGAAGCUUGACUGUGAGACCUACAAGUCGAGCAGGGACGAAAGUCGGUCUUAGUGAUCUGACGGUGCUGAGUGGAAAGGCCGUCACUCAACGGAUAAAAGUUACUCUAAGGAUAACAGGCUGAUCUCCCCCAAGAGUUCACAUCGACGGGGAGGUUUGGCACCUCGAUGUCGGCUCAUCGCAUCCUGGGGCGGUAGUACGUCCCAAGGGUUGGGCUGUUCGCCCAUGAAAGCGGUACGCGAGCUGGGUUCAGAACGUCGUGAGACAGUUCGUCCAUAUCCGGUGUAGGCGUUAGAAUAUUGAGAGGAGCCUUCUUUAGUACAAGAGGACCGAGAAGGACAUACCUCUGGUGUACCAGUUAUCGUGCCAACGGUAAACGCUGGGUAGCUAUGUAUGGAGAGGAUAACCGCUGAAAGCAUCUAAGUGGGAAGCCCACCUCAAGAUAAG